rnacentral:rRNA from 1 species
UACGUAGGGACCGAGCGUUGUCCGGAAUCAUUGGGCGUAAAGAGCGUGUAGGCGGCUAUUUAAGUCCUGCGUGAAAUCCUGCGGCUCAACCGCAGACGGUCGUGGGAAACUGGAUGGCUAGAGUGCGGGAGAGGAGAGUGGAAUUCCCGGUGUAGCGGUGAAAUGCGCAGAUAUCGGGAAGAACACCCGUGGCGAAGGCGGCUCUCUGGAACGCAACUGACGCUGAGACGCGAAAGCGUGGGGAGCAAACAGGGAU